AUACCACCUGCCCUGCAUAUAUACCAAAAAUGGAAUGAUACAAAGAUUAGCAUGACCCCUGUGCAGGAUGAUACACAAAUUUGUGAAACAUUCCACAUUUUU
rnacentral:snRNA from 1 species